rnacentral:rRNA from 1 species
CCUACGGGUGGCAGCAGUGGGGGAUAUUGCACAAUGGGGGAAACCCUGAUGCAGCGACGCCGCGUGUAGGAAGACGGUCCUCUGGAUUGUAAACUACUGUCCCCAGGGACGAAGAUGACGGUACCUGGGGCUGCCGCUCCGGCUCACUACGUGCCAGCCGCCUCGGUACUACGUAGGGAGCGAGCGUUGUCCGGAAUUACUGGGUGUAAAGGGAGCGUAGGCGGGGAUGCAAGUUGGGUGUUAAAUCUACCGGCUCAACUGGUAGUCGCACUCAAAACUGCAGCUCUUGAGUGAAGUAGAGGCAGGCGGAAUGCCUAGUGUAGCGGUGAAAUGCGUAGAUAUUAGGAGGAACACCAGUGGCGAAGGCGGCCUGCUGGGCUUUGACUGACGCUGAGGCUCGAAAGUGUGGGGAGCAAACAGGAUUAGAUACCCCGGUAGUC